CUUGUCAUUCUUAUGGGAAACUUCGCUUGAGCCCAUAGUUACUAAAUUCACUGCAUCCCCUUGAGUUUUGCUGAUUCGUGCAUCCCAAUUGCGGGACAUUUGCAUUCCAAUUUGUUGGGGAACGUGAUCUGAUUCGCCAAAAUAGGCGAACCAUAAAUCAACAAAAAUUUUAGGGAAAGAUGGUGAGGAUUUAAGGAGGAUGAGAAUAAGAAGAGGAAAGAGGAGGAGGUGGAAUCGAGAAGAGGAUGAAGCAGUGGCAAA
rnacentral:misc_RNA from 1 species